CACUCUGUAUUCUAUUCAACUCUUUGGUGGGUACAAGAUGUAUACAUACAUGUAUAUUGUAAAACUAUAGGAAGAGUAAGCAUCCCAUUUCACAUCCACCAUAAGACCCAUAUCUGAUCAGCUAAAUUGGGGUAAUUCGUAGUGAAAAUCAAUGUGAAGAUUGAUACAAUUUAGAAAUUAAUUUCAAAAUUAAGGAUGAUGUUUCCGUCAUGCAUAGCUCUGAUCCUUGGACGAAUGUGGCACCAGUUUUUUGUUUUUUUUCACUAUAGUUUUCCCUUUAGUUCUUACAAGUUUUUUGUCAUUUGGAAUUUCCGAAAUUUAGGCUUCAGCAUCACUGAAGAGAUUAUUUUUUUCGAAAUGCGCAUCUGGUGUAUCAAAAUUGGUACCGUAUAAGUUUUUCAUUAUGACCCAUGGGUCGAGGCCUCUGUUGGUGGACUGUUAGUCCCCGAGGGUCUCUACAGCCUUGUAGCUAAGUACUUCGUUAUUAGCUUGAAAAUACGGAUGUAUAUUUAAUUGGUGGAAUAAAAUUUAGAAAUUCAUUUCAAAAUCAAUGAUGAUAUCUCCCUCAUGCAUAGCUCUGAUCCUUGAACGAAUUUGGCUCCUGGUUUGUUUGUUUUUUGACACUCUAGUUUUCCUUUUAACUCUUACAAGUUUUUUGUCAUUUGGAAUCUCCAAAUUUCGGGCAUCAGCAGCACUGAAGAGACAUUAUUUGUCGAAAUGGGCAUCUGGUGCAUCAAAAUUGGUACCCAAUAAGUUUUAUACUAUGACCCCUGGUUCGAGGCCUCUGCUGAUGGAAGCAGUCCCCGAGGGUCUCUACAACCCAGUAGCUAAGUACAUCGUUACUAGCUUGAAAAUACAGAUGUAUAUUUAAUUGCUGGUAUAAAAUCUAGAAAUUCAUUUCAAAAUUAAUGAUGAUAUCUCCCUCAUGCAUAGCUCUGAUCCUUGGACGAAUUCAGCUUCAGUUUUUUGUUGUUGUUUUUUUUUUUGGUUUUUUUUUUUUUUGGUUUUUUUUUUUUUUUUUUUUUUUGGUUUUUUGGCACUCUAGUUUUCCUUUUAGCUCUUACAAGUUUUUUGCCAUUGGAAUUUCCAACAUCUCGGCUUGAACUUCACUGAAGACACAUUAUUUGUCGAAAUGCGCAUCUGGUGCAUCAAAAGAAGUACCGUAUCAGUUUUGCAUACAAUUGAUCCACAAAUGGAUGCACGGUCCCUAAAUACUCGUAUAUAUGACUUGUAAAUUUUCUAUUAUAUUAUUACUCCUGAUAUGAGUCUAUAUAGGUUUUUGGUAUUGUUUUACACUUAAUUGAGAAAAUGUGAGAAUAAAUUGCAUUUCAUACGGUAAAGCAUAUACAUUUUACUUAUGAAAACAUUGAUAUAGUUUUCAUUUUUAUCCUUUUUGAAAAAUAAAUUACAGCAAGUGUCUUUAACACAUCUACAUAACUAUGAAUACAAAGUGUUGUCAUUCGCUAUAAUUGCACCAUACAUGUAGAUUGUUUUAGAUUCCUUUUGUAGUUGCUAAAGAAGAUGACAGCUGUAUUUAUAACAAUAUAGACCUUAGUAUUCAUUUACAUACAUUAUUCAUUAGACAGAAUUGAUCACACUGACCGCGCAACUGAGUUUAAUGCUGAAAUAUUUUUCAGGGAGGAGGAUAUCUCUACAGUAGUGGGAAUUGGCAUACAAUGUUUUAUGAAAAUGAACACUUUGAGUGAUUCUAUCAUAAUGACUGAUAUGUUGUGCUGUAUGUAAAAUAUUUCCAGCAGAGCAUGUGUCAUUCUAAGCAUUGGGUGGAUUAUUUACGACAACGUUGUAUACAUAUUUUAAGGUAAAGUUAUAAUACAUACAUCAGUCAGAUCUAUCAAGUCUCGAAUUUAAUGAAAUGUUUACCUCCCUUUGACUAACCAGUGCCUGUCAUUUCUGUAGGUUUAUAUCAUGAGAAGUUGUUCCAUAUGAGAACUGUCAAAAAUAUAAAAGGAAUACUAUGAACAUGUAAGGUAGUGCUGUUUAUUCCUAUUUUUAUUGGGGGGGACCACAAGAAAUUAAUUAUGUCGUCGUAUUUUGGUAUGAUCUAAAAAUGGAGGCUACCGAGAUCCUAGAAUGUGCGAUUCUGCAUCAUGAAAAGUGAAGACAACGAACUGUGAUCUCAUAUAUAAUUCCUAUAAAGAAUGCAAACAUAGGAGUAGUGCAAACGCGGACCCUGAACACACCAUUGGUUGGACCAGGUGAAGUACCACCACGUGAUAAACACGUGUUAAAAAUCCUGAAACAUUUGAUAUAUUUAGGUGUGAACCAAUGAGUCUGAUAUGUCCAAACGUCAAAGUAAUUGUUCAUGUUUGUUUUCAUAGGUAUUCAAGAGUACUUUGAAACAAUUGCUUUUUUUAUUUCGCUAAUAUGGAGUACAAACGACCGGGAAUUGUACAGUGAACGGUAUAUAUGUCCCUAAUUUUGCGUCACUGAAAAUAGAAAACAACAAAAUAUGUUUGGUUGGAGUUUUCCGCCUCUAUGAAAAUCGUUCACUCAUAUAAAUAGGCAUAAAUCUUUAAAUAAUGUACUUCAGAUCAAAACAUAUGUUAGGCGUUUAAGUUAAUUAUCGUCUCAUUGCUUACCGUGACGCGGUACUUUGAUUUUGAAGUUCGUCUGAGAGACCCAUAAAGUCCAUUUCUAAUAUACAGUACUUCGUGAAGGAUGAUCGCUGCUUUGAAGCACAGACAUUUGAUGACGAGGGCAAUCGUCGCUCUCUUGUUGCCGAGAAACCAGAAUUUCUCUAUGAGGAACAUAUCUGUAUCCAUAUAGUUGGACGUGUAUGCAAAUGCAUGGCUACAGUUACAGUGACGAUAUAUUGUUGGACCGUUGAUGCAUAGUUACAGUUACAGUGACGAUAUUUUCUUCGACCUUUGAUGUAUGGUUACAGUUACAGUGACGCUAUUUUGUUGGACCUUUUGGAAGAUAGUGAUUUUUAACUAUGGAUUACUCACUCCUCUUACCUGAUCAGGAUAAAGGACUCGUGGCGGGGAGUCAACAGAGAAUAAACACUCCUCCUAGGUAACUGAUCCCACAUCUGUCGUGUCCAGGCGUCCGAGUUUGCCAUACUCCGGAUUUUCAUUAUUUAAGGGAUUUAUGAGAGUGAUCACUGUUCGUUAUCUUCACUUUUCAUGGUAAAUGCGUAUGCUUAACGUAUGUGUCUCACGUGUAUAUUGAGUAGCAACUCUUUGAAGAUAUAUGCUAUCAAUACGCUUUAAUUCUUUUAUAUUUCACAUCGGUGUGACCACGGACGUUUCACGUUUUUCAAAUUUUUAAAUACACCUGACAAAUUCUGCACUGUAUAUUACACUGUUUUUUGGAGUAACAUACAUUUUGGAAGCAUCUUCUAAAUAAAAUCAACCAAGAAUCGAUUUACACGUAUUGCAUUGCAAUAUUACAUGGAUUAACGACCUAAAGUUGUUUUCAUGUCUUAAGUUCGAGAAGGAAAGCAGUAUUCCUAAUAAAACCGCUCCAAUAAAUACCAAACCUUUCUAAAACAGAGAUGGAAAAAUACAAGAAAUAUAAUAAAAACAGGAAAGAAUGUCAUAAGUAAACAACUUUCAUAAAGAUUUCUAAAAGAGUGCCAAUUAAACCAGUGUACUUUGGGACAAGGAAACAAAAAGAAGAAGAAAACGUUUGCUAUAAAAUAAAAGGAAAUCCGGAUAAAUUGUGCAAAAGUUUAAUAUGGACUAGAUGACACAGUUAUUGAAAAUGUUAUACUAUGUUUCUUUUUUAUAUCUGGGUCCUUCACACAUACGGACGGAAACAAACACACAUCCAUCAGAAUGAUAAAUGCUCAAAGGUGAAGAGCUCUUCUAAACAUCCUCUUCAGCAUUACACUAACACGAAUUCAUUCCUCGCCUGAGUAAGUUGUUAAUCCUGUGGCCGCCUCUUGAGAACGAUAGCCUGUUAUCUGGUUUCAGAAUGAAGAUAUUUCUGGGUAGUAUUGCUUUCAUGGUGCUGAUGUUUAAAGUUUUUUACCGUUUUGGAUUCUCAAACCAAGCCACAGAAAAACAAUUCGUAUUGCCUUCAAAUCAAAAACAGUAUGAAAUAGAGGAUGAUGACAGGUAUGAUUUUGACAAACUCUAUCGUAGGCUCUACAACCGGAGAGGAUAGUAAAGAAUCUGGAAAAAAUGUAUUCUCCGGCAAAAUAGGACCAAGUGGUAUACGAUAUAAUAGAAAAGGAAGGGGGAUUUUUCGUUGAUAUUGGUGUUCACGACGGACAAUUCUUAUCCAAUUCGUUGUGACUUGAACAAAAACACGAAUGAAGCUAAUCAGCAUUUAUGUCGAAAUAGAGAUUCAUUAAUAAGACGUGCUUGGAGGAUGUGUGCAUGUGUUUUUGAUAUUUAAACAUCAGUGUAUUUCAUUACAUGUGGUGGGGUUGGAGGUAUUGAAGAAAUAUUGACGGACAUCACGUCAAACGAGCAGAACAAAAUUAAGGUCCCUUGUUUUAGUUUUGGAGACUGCAUUAGGGGAAUUCAAAACCACCCAUAUCGAUUUCUUUUCACUGGAUGUAGGAGGUGCAGAAAUAUUACCCAACAUCGGAAACUUUUAAAUCCGCUUACCUUUUUUUCAUUCGGGAAAUUAAAACCAUAUAGAUUUGUUUUUGAUUAUUUUCAGUUUUAUUUUUCUUUGUUUAUUUAUUUAUUUUGUUUUAUUUUCAGUUUUAAAUAUUUAAAUAGCAUACAUGUAUGUAUACAACAUACCUUCAUAUACUAUUAUUCAUAUUGUAUCUGUAUAAUACUGCUGUCUGUAUAUAUGUUUUCAGGACCACAAUGUAAACUAGUUUUAAACUAAUUGUGCUAUCCUGUUUAAAUAAAGGACAUUAUUAUUAUUAUUACUGAAAUAUAAGCAGUUUAUUGUAGACGUUUGGUCAUUCGAAUAUAGAAUAUAGAGUUUGGGAUGGACAGAAAGUGGUCGUGGGAAAAUCUCUGGAAAAUUUGAAUGCAUUAAGAAAGUAUUUCCAUACACUUGGUGGUUAUAGCGAACAUUUCCAACCAUCACACGACGGAAACUUUAAGAAUGGAUGUUGUGUUUGUUUGUAACGAGAUUUGGUGCAAGUCACAUGACAAGUUGCCAAAUGCCAAAUGGCAGAGCCUGUGAAAUUUAAUGUAUUUUUACAGUAUUUUGAAAUAUGCUGAAAAUUUGCCAAGGCCAAAAUAUUGUCAUCGUGGAAUAAUAAGCAUAAUCAAAACAGAUUCAAUAUUUUACUUUCGUCAGAGUUACGGACAACGGUGUGCAUACAAUCGACCUAUAUUUUUUGAUUUUAUGCUUUCCUGGGUGGAAUUUGUUGAGCAAUAACAAGGAAUGUAUGGAAAGUCCACUAACGUUUCCUGGUAUAAUAUCUGGAUACACACUAUAUAGUUAUUUUAUCCAAAUGUUUAAAAAUCUGUUUUAGUUUUUCAAGCCAUUCUGUUUCCAAUUCAGGGAGACAUACUUUAUGUAAAACGUAAAAUUCCUUUUGGUUUGACUUAAUGAUGAUCGAAGGCAUAGUUUCCGAAAACUGCAAUUUGUUUCAUACAUAUGUCUAAUCUGAUAUUGCAUUGUGUUCAACAAUUGUUUUAGAUAUGCUUGUCUGCGAAAAUCAAGUCAGAUAUUUACUAUUAGAAUCGUAUCUCCCAAUAUAUAUAUUACAUGAGAAAGUACAAUAUUGUCCAUUUUAUCUUCGCUUAAAACUAUAUUUCUAACCUAUGCUUUUUAAAAAUACAUUUAAAGUAAAAUUAUGUUAUGUUAUGCAAUAUUGUAGUGUGAACUAUGAAAAAGUCAAGUUUUCUGAAGAAAAACCCCCCACAAUUUUGUCACUAGUUCUGCUUUGGCAGACCCCUCUCUUAAUAAUUGAUAUUUUUUAUUUUUUUAUUUGAUGUUUUCCGCCACACUCAACAAUUUUUCAGUUAUAUGGUGGCGCCCAGUUUUGUUUUGUUUUGUUUUUUUGUUUUUUUGUUGGUGGAAGAGAGAACCCAGAUACAAUGCACCUGGGAAGAGACCACCGACCUACCGAAAGUAAACUGGGAAACUUUCUCACUUACCGGCGCAAUAAUAACUGAUAGAAGUAUACGUAAUAUAUACACCUAUGCUAGUACAAAUGUAAUGUAAUGAUAAAAUAAACUUUUAUAUUUGUUAUCACAGUAACCUUUCCUGAAAAUUAAAAGCAGUUUCUUUCUCUUGACUAUUUUUACCGCAAGAUCCUUUUCUGACGUAAGUCAUGACGAAGUUCUCCACGUAUGGGAACUCUCUACAUGUAAAUCAGUGAUUCUGUGCGUAGGCAAUAUUUUAUGCUAGUCUUUUCACAUAUGUGUAUGCAAUAGGGGGUCGUCUUGUUAAACCCCCCUAUCGGAUGUUUUUAUUUUGUGCAUAUAUGUUCUCUUUCUCAAUGUUGAUUUUAUAGAUGUAUGUAACAGGGGGUCGUUUGCAGCAUACGAUCUUAAUUUUUACUUUGUUUUAAUGACCCCUUGUACUGUAUAUACUUUUCGUCACUUACUAAAUAAAUGACAUUUUCUUUUCUCAAA